ACAACAACAUACCAACCCGCGCAUAUGCCAGGGGGAACGCAUCAACCCGCCGAUCAACGAAGAGAUCACGAUCAGGACACACACACACGCACGAACCGCGGGGAUGAUGAUGAUGAUGAUGAUGAUGGUAAUUAGUGUUAGUGAUGAUGAUGAUGACGAACGAUGAACGACGAUGAGGAGAUCGUCCGGGAACACACAACCACAAAACACCACACCGCAGAAAAACAAUUAUCAAGAUGGUUUUCGGGAGGUUUGGGUUUUGCAAAAUGAUAACACACAGGUCGCGCGCGCACAGAACCGGAAAUGAAAGGGUACCGAAAGGAAAGAGAAGAAGAAAAAAGGAAAUGAUACCAAACGGUGUCGAUGAAAUGAAGGCGCUCUCGCUCUACCCUAACCGACACACUACAGUAGAGCUGUUUGUUCAAGAACUAUAUCUCUCAUGGGGUUUUUUAUACCGACUGCUAAAUUAUGUCCUAGAGCAAAAAAAACAUCUAAAACAUUCCACAUUUGCAACAGAACCAUCUUCAACAAUGAUUCUCUCCGACUUUAAAACAUA